rnacentral:rRNA from 1 species
UACGUAGGUGGCAAGCGUUAUCCGGAUUUACUGGGUGUAAAGGGAGCGUAGACGGCGAUGCAAGCCAGAUGUGAAAGCCCGGGGCUCAACCCCGGGACUGCAUUUGGAACUGUGUGGCUGGAGUGUCGGAGAGGCAAGUGGAAUUCCUAGUGUAGCGGUGAAAUGCGUAGAUAUUAGGAGGAACACCAGUGGCGAAGGCGGCUUGCUGGACGAUGACUGACGUUGAGGCUCGAAAGCGUGGGGAGCAAACAGG